ACUCAAAGGAAUAGACGGGGGCCCGCACAAGCGGUGGAGCAUGUGGUUUAAUUCGAUGCAACGCGAAGAACCUUACCUACCCUUGACAUGUGACGAACCUGGGGGAAAGCCCUGGGGUGCCGAAAGGAACGUCAACACAGGUGCUGCAUGGCUGUCGUCAGCUCGUGUCGUGAGAUGUUGGGUUAAGUCCCGUAACGAGCGCAACCCUUGUCCUUCGUUGCCAUUCUGUAAAAAGAGGAACUCGAAGGAGACUGCCGGUGACAAACCGGAGGAAGGUGGGGAUGACGUCAAGUCAUCAUGGCCUUUAUGGGUAGGGCUACACACGUGCUACAAUGGGGUGAACAGCGGGAAGCGAACCUGUGAGGGGGAGCGGAUCCUAUAAAGCACCUCGUAGUCCGGAUCGGAGUCUGCAACUCGACUCCGUGAAGUUGGAAUCGCUAGUAAUCGCGGAUCAGCAUGUCGCGGUGAAUACGUUCUCGGGCCUUGUACACACCGCCCGU
rnacentral:rRNA from 1 species